UAAUACAGAGGUCUCAAGCGUUGUUCGGAAUCACUGGGCGUAAAGGGUGCGUAGGUGGCGUGGUAAGUCAGAUGUGAAAGCCCGGGGCUCAACCUCGGAAUUGCAUCCGAUACUGCCGUGCUUGAGUACUGGAGAGGUGACUAGAAUUCUAGGUGUAGCAGUGAAAUGCGUAGAUAUCUAGAGGAAUACCAAAGGCGUAGGCAGGUCACUGGACAGUUACUGACACUGAGGCACGAAGGCCAGGGGAGCAAACGGG
rnacentral:rRNA from 1 species